rnacentral:tRNA from 1 species
GGACAGGUGGCCGAGUGGUUUAAGGCUCUAGUCUUGAAAACUAGCGUGGGGGCAACUUCACCGUGAGUUCGAAUCUCACCCUGUCCGCCA